CUCAAAUGGUCAGGGGUACGAUGAGGCAAACACCUGUUUAUUUGCAGUCUGUAUAAUCUGUGCCACGUUUGCAGAUGGUGCCCUGCACAGUUCUGGGAGGUUUGAACUAUUCAGUGACCAUAACCAACUGUGGAAUGCCAUAAAUGGAGCAAUAUAAUGACUGGAGCUACCCAGCAUCCUUCAGAUUAACAGCUGGCUCUCCAAGGCUCCUUUGCAAAAGCAAUGCAGUCCUUCACACAGCAGCCUCUUUGGGCUAAGAUGAGCAAAGAUCUUUGAUGCUUCCAUUUUCUCACUCCAUGAAUGGAUCAAAGAGCCCAAAAUCCACAGGGCUUUGAAACAGGAGGAGCAGUGGAAGAGAGAUUACAGUCAGCUGGAACAGAAAUGCAUUAGUCUGGAGCUUGAUUGGUCUGGUUUUGUGGUUGACAUUUGUGAGCAUGAAAGCAUUAGGGAGAAAUAACAAUGGCAUUUUUAGAUAAAAUAACAGUAGAUUAAAAAAAGUUAAUUUUGUACUAAAUUCCACAGUAAUAUUAUGUCUUGCAGUAAAUUUCUAACUAUCCUGAAGUGAUAACCAGUUUUCUUUUGUGUAAAAGGAGCCAUAGUCUAAGGAGACUCUUGAGUGGCAGCCUAGAUAUGAGAAAUGUUAUUUGAAUUAGGAAUUCUUAUCCAUGUUUAUAGUACUUUCCAGAGGCUUUCUCUCAUUUUUAGGCCUUUUUCA
rnacentral:lncRNA from 1 species